rnacentral:rRNA from 1 species
CAAGCAACUGUUUAGCAAAAACACAGGUCUAUGCGAAACCGAAAGGUGAGGUAUAUGGGCUGACGCCUGCCCGGUGCUGGAAGGUUAAGGGGAGAGGUUAGCGCAAGCGAAGCUUUGAACUUAAGCCCCAGUAAACGGCGGCCGUAACUAUAACGGUCCUAAGGUAGCGAAAUUCCUUGUCGGGUAAGUUCCGACCCGCACGAAAGGCGUAAUGAUUUGAGCGCUGUCUCGACAAUGCAUCCGGUGAAAUUGAAGUACCAGUGAAGAUGCUGGUUACCCGCGCCAGGACGGAAAGACCCCAUGGAGCUUUACUCCAGCUUGAUACUGGGAUCCGGUAUUGCAUGUACAGGAUAGGUGGGAGGCUAGGAAGCGGGGACGCCAGUCGCCGCGGAGCCGCUGUUGGGAUACCACCCUUGCAGUGCUGGGUUUCUAACCAGCAGCCGUGAACCGGCUGGGGGACAAUGUCAGGCGGGGAGUUUGACUGGGGCGGUCGCCUCCGAAAGGGUAUCGGAGGCGCUCAAAGGUUCCCUCAGAAUGGUCGGAAACCAUUCGAAGAGUGCAAAGGCAGAAGGGAGCUUGACUGCGACACCGACGGGUGGAGCAGGUACGAAAGUAGGGCUUAGUGAUCCGGUGGUAUUAAGUGGGAAUGCCAUCGCUCAACGGAUAAAAGCUACCCUGGGGAUAACAGGCUUAUCACUCCCAAGAGUUCACAUCGACGGAGUGGUUUGGCACCUCGAUGUCGGCUCAUCGCAUCCUGGGGCUGUAGUAGGUCCCAAGGGUUGGGCUGUUCGCCCAUUAAAGCGGUACGCGAGCUGGGUUCAGAACGUCGUGAGACAGUUCGGUCCCUAUCCGGCGUGGGCGUAGGAUAUUUGAGAGGAGCUGUCCUUAGUACGAGAGGACCGGGAUGGACUGACCUCUGGUGUACCGGUUGAACCGCCAGGUUCACGGCCGGGUAGCCAAGUCGGGAAGGGAUAAACGCUGAAGGCAUCUAAGCGUGAAGCCCCCCUCAAGAUGAGAUAUCCCAUUCGAAAGAAGUAAGACCCCUUGAAGACGACGAGGUAGAUAGGGCAGAGGUGGAAGUGCCGUAAGGCAUGGAGCUGACUGUUACUAAUCGGUCGAGGGCUUGACCUG